UCCGGCAUGGAUGCCGGGAAAGCUGUAUGGAAUCGACGUUUUUGCAAAGCCGUUAGGCUUUGUAAAAACUCGCGUUGAAAAUCGUACACGGAUGUACGAUUUUCAAACCCGC
rnacentral:sRNA from 1 species